rnacentral:lncRNA from 1 species
AAUCCAUUGCAUUACCGGCACGAGGCAAGCGUGUUACUUUGCUUAUGGAUUGACCAAAUGAGACCGUGGGUUUUUAUUUAAAUAAACACCCUCUCCCACUCAAUCUUUUAGAAUAAUGGAUAUUAAUUGAAAUAAUUACCAACUAUUCAUAUUAAUUAAAUUAAUAUACAGUUUAAUUAUUACAAUUUUUCUAUUCAGAAAAAUUUAAUUUAAAUUAAAUUAAUCAAAGAAAAAUCCGUGUUUAAUGCUAUACAUCCUAUUCAUAGUAUCACGAACGAUGUCACAAAUAAAUAUAUAUGUCAUGAUAUCUAGAAUGACAGUAUUUCAAACAAUAAUUUAAAGCAUUCAUAAAGCGAUAAAUUAGUAAUUAUUUGUGGCCCAAACACGACUCAAGAAAUAAAUUAAAACCUAAUUGGAUCCAAGCCCAAUAUCUAAUCUAAAUCUUCAGUCCAAAAUAUUCAAGGAUCCAGUGUAGCAAUUCUAACAACAAUAAGACACUGUCCAAAACAAAAUUCCAAUUGACCCAUUGCGUAAAUAUAGAUGCUGCUUCUAAUCCUUCUGCCGCAAUUCGAUGCAUCUAUCAUGGCAGUUCCCCAUCAACAGCAAUUUAUUCCAUUAUUUAAUUCUUUUUUUUUUUUGCAAAGCUUGUUUGUCAUCAAUGUUACCCUUUGGAGAAUUAAUAACCCAAUUGUGCCGUUCAGAAUAUUUAUUUGUUGAUGGUGGCCCACAUUUCUAGAACCAAGGCAAUUAACUAUAUUGGUUUGUUGUCCAACAUGUAAUAUUCCAGCCUUUUUACGAACGGACCAUGGACGAUCACUUUGUGCAAUUGAAACUACCAUCCUUUUUUUUUUUUUUGAAUUUUUCAUCCUGCGUCUUCAAUCUUCGUCUUUGUCUUCAAUCAAUUCGCAAGAUUCAAAAAUUACAAGAAUUACAUAAAUUCCUAUAUCCCGUAGGCUCACAAAUUUUGAAUCUAAUUGAACAGAAAAUUAUAUCAAGAUGAUGGAGUCGUAAUCCACCUAUAUUGUUACAGACUCGAAAUAACGAAUUACAAUCAAGAACUGGCCACAAAUAAUUAGUUCACAAUUUAAAAUAAUCCAAUCAUUCAAUCAACAUAUAAUAAAUUAUUCCUAGACAUUGCUCAACUAGAACAUGCAAUCAAGAUUCAUAAAUAACAAGGACGUGAAUGAUCUAGAUUGCUCUGAUACCAGUCGUUGGAAUGCGGAAGCGUAAUUAUCCAGAAUUAAAAUUUUCUUUAAUUCAAUAAGCAAGAUCGUCUAGAUGUUCACGUGUAUGUUAUAUCAAAAUUAAAGGAUUCGAAUAAUUUGCUUAAGUUCAAUGAUCAACCUUGAAUUAACUUUGAUCCGCGAACUUCCAUCUCCUUUAAUUGCAAGAAUCUUGGUGUUUCAGAUCUUCAAGCCUUCUAUGGUAUUCUUCAACGCAAAGACAACACCGGUGUGUGGGCACCUUCUUUCAAUUAAUCCAGAAACUAAUUCUUGAAUUUUGGAUAACAAGAAAAUAAAUUAUUUUCCCUCUCUUUUUCUCUCUCUCGCUCUUCCUA